rnacentral:rRNA from 1 species
GUACACUCCUGCGGGAGGCAGCAGUGGGGAAUUUUGGACAAUGGGCGAAAGCCUGAUCCAGCAAUGCCGCGUGAGUGAAGAAGGCCUUCGGGUUGUAAAGCUCUUUUGUCAGGGAAGAAACGGUGAGAGCUAAUAUCUUUUGCUAAUGACGGUACCUGAAGAAUAAGCACCGGCUAACUACGUGCCAGCAGCCGCGGUAAUACGUAGGGUGCAAGCGUUAAUCGGAAUUACUGGGCGUAAAGCGUGCGCAGGCGGUUUUGUAAGUCUGAUGUGAAAUCCCCGGGCUCAACCUGGGAAUUGCAUUGGAGACUGCAAGGCUAGAAUCUGGCAGAGGGGGGUAGAAUUCCACGUGUAGCAGUGAAAUGCGUAGAUAUGUGGAGGAACACCGAUGGCGAAGGCAGCCCCCUGGGUCAAGAUUGACGCUCAUGCACGAAAGCGUGGGGAGCAAACAGGAUUAGAUACCCCUGUAGUCCC